GAUGAACGCUGGCGGCGUGCCUAAUACAUGCAAGUCGAGCGAACGGACGAGAAGCUUGCUUCUCGGAUGUUAGCGGCGGAGGGGGGAGUAACACGUGGAUACCCAACUUUUAAGACUGGGAAAACUCCGGGAAACGGGGGCAAACACCGGAUAAUAUUUUGAACCGAUGGGUCCAAAAGGAAAAGACGGCUUGGCGGUACCUAUUAGUGGGAUCCGCGCUGCAUUAGCUAGUUGGUAAGGUAACGGCUUACCAAGGCAACGAUGCAUAGCCGACCUGAGAGGGUGAUCGGCCACACUGGAACUGAGACACGGUCCAGACUCCUACGGGAGGCAGCAGUAGGGAAUCUUCCGCAAUGGGCGAAAGCCUGACGGAGCAACGCCGCGUGAGUGAUGAAGGUCUUCGGAUCGUAAAACUCUGUUAUUAGGGAAGAACAUAUGUGUAAGUAACUGUGCACAUCUUGACGGUACCUAAUCAGAAAGCCACGGCUAACUACGUG
rnacentral:rRNA from 1 species